rfam:Triticum aestivum genome assembly, contig: Triticum_aestivum_CS42_TGACv1_scaffold_003534_1AL
CAAUUACUCCCUCCGUCCGGAAAUACUUGUCAUCAAAAUGGAUAAAAGGGGAUGUAUCUAGACGUAUUUUAGAUACAUCUCUUUUUAUCCAUUUUGAUGACAAGUAUUUUCGGACAGAGGGAGUACUUC